rnacentral:rRNA from 1 species
UACGUAGGGUGCGAGCAUUGUCCGGAAUUACUGGGCGUAAAGGGCUCGUAGGCGGCCAACUAAGUCCGACGUGAAAUCCCAAGGCUUAACCUUGGAACUGCGUCGGAUACUGGAUGGCUUGAAUUCGGGAGAGGGAUGCAGAAUUCCAGGUGUAGCGGUGAAAUGCGUAGAUAUCUGGAGGAAUACCGGUGGCGAAGGCGGCAUCCUGGACCGACACUGACGCUGAGGAGCGAAAGCCAGGGGAGCAAACGGG